GGCCUCCCUCUGUGGGGCGAUCAAUCUGGGGGUUCCUGCGAUUGAUCACCCCUCAGAGGGAGGCC
rnacentral:pre_miRNA from 1 species